rnacentral:rRNA from 1 species
UGGGGGAUUUUGCACAAUGGGCGCAAGCCUGAUGCAGCGACGCCGCGUGAGGGAUGAAGGCCUUCGGGUUGUAAACCUCUUUCGCUGGGUUGAAAGGCCAUGCUUUGGGUGUGGUUGAUUUGAACUGGUAAAGAAGUACCGGCUAACUACGUGCCAGCAGCCGCGGUAAUACGUAGGGUACUAGCGUUGUCCGGAUUUAUUGGGCGUAAAGGGCUUGUAGGUGGUUUGUUGCGUCUGUCGUGAAAUCCUGUGGCUUAACCAUGGGCUUGCGGUGGGUACGGGCAGGCUUGAGUGCGGUAGGGGAGACUGGAAUUCCUGGUGUAGCGGUGGAAUGCGCAGAUAUCAGGAGGAACACCGGUGGCGAAGGCGGGUCUCUGGGCCGUUACUGACACUGAGGAGCGAAAGCGUGGGGAGCGAACAGG